AGAUGGCCCGGGCAUUUUAACCCAUUCUUCUACAUUGUAUAGCAGGGAGGAAUCACAUUUCAUUUCCAGGUGAAAGUAUUAGCAGCUGAGCUCCGUCGUCUUAAUUUUGAAACCCUAGAAAAUACAAAAGAAUUAUGACAUAGGUGGUGAUUGGUGAUCAAGAUGGUGAAGCUCACAAUGAUUGCCCGUGCUACCGAUGGUCUUCCAUUAGUAGAAGGAUUGGAUGAUGUACGUAAUCUACAAGAUGCUGAUGUUUACAAGCACCAGGCUAAGGCGUUGUUUAAGAACCUGUCAAGCGGUCAGAAUGAUGCGUCAAGAAUGUCAAUUGAAACUGGUCCUUAUGUUUUCCACUAUAUUAUUGAAGGCCAUGUAUGUUACUUGACAAUGUGUGAUCGUUCUUAUCCAAAGAAGCUUGCUUUCCAAUACCUGGAGGACUUGAGAAAUGAAUUUGAACGUGUUAAUGGAAAUCAAAUAGAAACAGCUGCGAGACCCUAUGCGUUUAUCAAAUUUGAUACUUUUAUACAGAAGACCAAGAAACUGUACUUGGAUACUAGUACUCAACGGAACCUUGCCAAGUUGAAUGAUGAACUUUUUGAGGUGCACCAAAUCAUGACUCGGAACGUUCAAGAAGUUCUUGGUGUCGGUGAAAAAUUGGACCAGGUCACCCAAAUGUCGAGUCGCUUAACCUCUGAAUCUCGCAUCUAUGCCGAUAAGGCAAGAGAUCUAAAUCGACAGGUGGUGAUUGGUGAUCAUUUCAAGUAUUCUGAAGAUGGUGAAGCUCACAAUGAUAGCCCGUGUUACCGAUGGUCUUCCAUUAGUAGAAGGAUUGGAUGAUGCACGUAAUCUACAAGAUGCUGAUGUUUACAAGCACCAGGCUAAGGCGUUGUUUAAGAACCUGUCAAGCGGUCAGAAUGAUGCGUCGAGAAUGUCAAUUGAGACUGGUCCUUAUGUUUUCCACUAUAUUAUUGAAGGCCAUGUAUGUUACUUGACAAUGUGUGAUCGUUCUUAUCCUAAGAAGCUUGCUUUCCAAUACUUGGAGGACUUGAGAAAUGAAUUUGAACGUGUUAAUGGAAAUCAAAUAGAAACAGCUGCGAGACCCUAUGCAUUUAUCAAGUUUGAAGACCAAGAAACUGUACUUGGAUACUAGUACUCAACGGAACCUUGCCAAGUUGAAUGAUGAACUUUUUGAGGUGCAUCAAAUAAUGAUUAGGAACGUUCAAGAAGUUCUUGGUGUCGGUGAAAAAUUGGACC